rnacentral:tRNA from 1 species
UGGGGCGCAGCUCAGUGGUAGAGCACUUGCCUAGCAUGUCUGAGGCACUGGGUUUGGUUCCCAGCACCAUAU